UUUGUCCUACGGGGCGCAGCAGUGGGGAAUAUUGCACAAUGGGGGAAACCCUGAUGCAGCGACGCCGCGUGAGUGAAGAAGGUUUUCGGAUUGUAAACUGCUUUAGAUAGGGAAGAAAAAAAUGACAGUACCUAUAGAAUAAGCUCCGGCUAACUACGUGCCAGCAGCCGCGGUAAUACGUAGGGAGCGAGCGUUAUCCGGAUUUAUUGGGUGUAAAGGGUGCGUAGAUGGAUAAGCAAGUUGGUUGUGAAAUCCCUCGGCUUAACUGAGGAAUUGCAACCAAAACUGUAGAUCUUGAGUACUGG
rnacentral:rRNA from 1 species